CCUAAGUGCCCCUGUAGCCUAUUUGCUGAAGAGAUGAUUUUUGUUUGUUACAAUAGAUUUUCCUAUUAUAUCCUGCUGACUUCAGUUUACGCUUGGCUGUUUGAAAACCCUUUAAAAGAAAUAAUUCAAUAAUAACCUGUAUACUCUCUCCGUCGUGAGCGAUGAGCGUGGGCUCCACCUUGUGGAAGUGUUCUCCCUCGCGCCAGUCCUGCCGCGUGAGCGCUGACCUGCCUUCCUCGGCCCCCGUGCCGGCGCCGGCGCAAAUCACUGCAAAAGGAUCAUCGAGGUCCAAGUCGUGUGGCGAGCGGUAGACGGUGAACGCGAUAUCGUGUCGCAGCACGUCGAAGUCCCAGGUCAGCACGCUCUGCGGGUCCUUGUUGUUCACGAUCACCUCGUGAACCUGAAAUAAAGA